GACGAACGCUGGCGGCGUGCUUAACACAUGCAAGUCGAACGGAAAGGCCCUGCUUUUGUGGGGUGCUCGAGUGGCGAACGGGUGAGUAACACGUGAGUAACCUGCCCUUGACUUUGGGAUAACUUCAGGAAACUGGGGCUAAUACCGGAUAGGAGCUCCUGCUGCAUGGUGGGGGUUGGAAAGUUUCGGCGGUUGGGGAUGGACUCGCGGCUUAUCAGCUUGUUGGUGGGGUAGUGGCUUACCAAGGCUUUGACGGGUAGCCGGCCUGAGAGGGUGACCGGCCACAUUGGGACUGAGAUACGGCCCAGACUCCUACGGGAGGCAGCAGUGGGGAAUAUUGCACAAUGGGCGGAAGCCUGAUGCAGCAACGCCGCGUGCGGGAUGACGGCCUUCGGGUUGUAAACCGCUUUCGCCUGUGACGAAGCGUGAGUGACGGUAAUGGGUAAAGAAGCACCGGCUAACUACGUGCCAGCAGCCGCGGUGAUACGUAGGGUGCGAGCGUUGUCCGGAUUUAUUGGGCGUAAAGGGCUCGUAGGUGGUUGAUCGCGUCGGAAGUGUAAUCUUGGGGCUUAACCCUGAGCGUGCUUUCGAUACGGGUUGACUUGAGGAAGGUAGGGGAGAAUGGAAUUCCUGGCGGAGCGGUGGAAUGCGCAGAUAUCAGGAGGAACACCAGUGGCGAAGGCGGUUCUCUGGGCCUUUCCUGACGCUGAGGAGCGAAAGCGUGGGGAGCGAACAGGCUUAGAUACCCUGGUAGUCCACGCUGUAAACGGUGGGUACUAGGUGUGGGGUCCAUUCCACGGGUUCCGUGCCGUAGCUAACGCUUUAAGUACCCCGCCUGGGGAGUACGGCCGCAAGGCUAAAACUCAAAGGAAUUGACGGGGCCCCGCACAAGCGGCGGAGCAUGCGGAUUAAUUCGAUGCAACGCGUAGAACCUUACCUGGGUUUGACAUGGGUCGGGAGUGCUCAGAGAUGGGUGUGCCUCUUUUGGGGUCGGUUCACAGGUGGUGCAUGGCUGUCGUCAGCUCGUGUCGUGAGAUGUUGGGUUAAGUCCCGCAACGAGCGCAACCCUUGUUCACUGUUGCCAGCACGUUAUGGUGGGGACUCAGUGGAGACCGCCGGGGUCAACUCGGAGGAAGGUGGGGAUGACGUCAAGUCAUCAUGCCCCUUAUGUCCAGGGCUUCACGCAUGCUACAAUGGCUGGUACAGAGAGUGGCGAGCCUGUGAGGGUGAGCGAAUCUCGGAAAGCCGGUCUCAGUUCGGAUUGGGGUCUGCAACUCGACCUCAUGAAGUCGGAGUCGCUAGUAAUCGCAGAUCAGCAACGCUGCGGUGAAUACGUUCCCGGGGCU
rnacentral:rRNA from 1 species